CAGCAGUAAACAAACAGCCAUGCUAAGAAAGGCACCCUCAUUUAAUAGCAGCAGUAAACAAACAGCCAUGCUAAGAAAGGCACCUCAUUUAAUAGCAGCAGUAAACAAACAGCCAUGCUAAGAAAGGCACCCUCAUUUAAUAGCAGCAGUAAACAAACAGCCAUGUUAAGAAAGGCACCCUCAUUUAAUAGCAGCAGUAAACAAACAGCCAUGCUAAGAAACACACCUCAUUUAAUAGCAGCAGUAAACAAACAGCCAUGUUAAGAAAGGCACCCUCAUUUAAUAGCAGCAGUAAACAAACAGCCAUGCUAAGAAAGGUACCUCAUUUAAUAGCAGCAGUAAACAAACAGCUAUGUUAAGAAAGGCACCCUCAUUUAAUAGCAGCAGUAAACAAACAGCCAUGCUAAGAAAGGCACCUCAUUUAAUAGCAGCAGUAAACAAACAGCCAUGCUAAGAAAGGCACCCUCAUUUGAUAGCAGCAGUAAACAAACAGACAUGCUAAGAAAGGCACCUCAUUUAAUAGCAGCAGUAAA